rnacentral:lncRNA from 1 species
CUAAUGACCAAAAUACGCAAAACACACCCGCUAAUAAAAAUUAUUAACCAUUAAUUCAUUGAUCUUCCCACAGCAUCCAGCAUUUCUACAUGAUGAAACUUUGGCUCACUUAUUGGUGCCUGCUUAAUUCUCCAAAUCAUCAGAGAAUGAUUUCUGGCCGUACACUACACAUCGGAUACCUUAACUGCCUUCUCUUCAGUCACCAAUAUCAGCCGAGAUGUAAAUUAUGACUGAAUAAUCUGCUAUUUUCAUGCUAACGGCGCUUCAAUAUUUUUCAUCUGCCUCUUCCUACAUGUUGGCCGAGGUUUAUAUUAUGGGUCAUUUAUAUUUCUAAAAACCUGAAAUAUUGGCAUUAUCCUCCUACUCACAACCACAGCAACAGCAUUUAUAGGUUACAUACUCCCAUGAGGCCAAAUAUCAUUCUGAGGUGCUACAAUAAUUACAAAUCUACUAUCAGCAAUCCCAUAUAUGGAAACUGACCUUGUAUAAUGAAUCUGAGGUGGAUUCUCAGUUGACAAAGCCACGCUUACACAACUUUUAGCCUUCCGUUUUAUCUUUCCCUUCAUCAUUGCAGCUCUAACAACUGUUUUCCUUUUAUUCUUACGUGAAACAGGAUAUAAUAACCUUCAGGGAUCUCAUCAGACCCUGACAAAAUCACUUUCCAACCUUACUACGUAAUCAAAUAUAUUCUAGGCCUAACUCUCCCCCUCCUCCUCCUAAUAGUCCUAGUACUAUUUUCACCUGAUCUCCUGAGCCACCUGGAUAAUUACACUUUAGCCAACACCCUCAAUACCCCACCCCACAUUAAACCAGAGUGAUACUUUUCCAUCCCUAACAAACUAGGAGGUAUGCUCGCCCUUACAUCCUCCAUUCUCAUUCUAGCAGUUAUUCCUAUACUUCACACAUCUAAACAACAAAACAUAGUAUUCUGUCCAUUAAGUCGAUGCCUAUUCUGAAUCUUAGUGCUGACCUGCUCACACUCACAUGAAUCGGAGGGCAGUGAGUCAACUACCCUUUUAUUAUCAUCAGACAGACAGCAUCCAUUAUGUACUUCUUUACCGUCCUCACCCUUAUACUAAUCAUUGCCCUAAUUGAAAACAAGCUACUUA